CCUACGGGAGGCAGCAGUGAGGAAUAUUGGUCAAUGGGCGAGAGCCUGAACCAGCCAAGUCGCGUGCAGGAUGACGGCCCUACGGGUUGUAAACUUCUUUUGUCAGGGAGCAAUUGGGUCCACGCGUGGGCUUAGCGAGAGUACCUGAAGAAAAAGCAUCGGCUAACUCCGUGCCAGCAGCCGCGGUAUUACGGAGGACGCGAGGGUUAUCCGGAUUUAUUGGGUUUAAAGGGUGCGUAGGCGGGAUAUCAAGUCAGCGGGAAAAAUUCGGGGCUCAACCCCGUCGUGCAGUUGAAACUGAUGUUCUUGAGUGGGCGAGAAGUAUGCGGAAUGCGUGGUGUAGCGGUGAAAUGCAUAGAUAUCACGAAGAACUCCGAUUGCGAAGGCAGCAUACCGGCGCCCAACUGACGCUGAGGCACGAAAGCGCGGGUAUCGAACAGGAUUAGAUACCCUGGUAGUC
rnacentral:rRNA from 1 species